CGAGCGGACAGAUGGGAGCUUGCUCCCUGAUGUUAGCGGCGGACGGGUGAGUAACACGUGGGUAACCUGCCUGUAAGACUGGGAUAACUCCGGGAAACCGGGGCUAAUACCGGAUGCUUGUUUGAACCGCAUGGUUCAAACAUAAAAGGUGGCUUCGGCUACCACUUACAGAUGGACCCGCGGCGCAUUAGCUAGUUGGUGAGGUAAUGGCUCACCAAGGCAACGAUGCGUAGCCGACCUGAGAGGGUGAUCGGCCACACUGGGACUGAGACACGGCCCAGACUCCUACGGGAGGCAGCAGUAGGGAAUCUUCCGCAAUGGACGAAAGUCUGACGGAGCAACGCCGCGUGAGUGAUGAAGGUUUUCGGAUCGUAAAGCUCUGUUGUUAGGGAAGAACAAGUACCGUUCGAAUAGGGCGGUACCUUGACGGUACCUAACCAGAAAGCCACGGCUAACUACGUGCCAGCAGCCGCGGUAAUACGUAGGUGGCAAGCGUUGUCCGGAAUUAUUGGGCGUAAAGGGCUCGCAGGCGGUUUCUUAAGUCUGAUGUGAAAGCCCCCGGCUCAACCGGGGAGGGUCAUUGGAAACUGGGGAACUUGAGUGCAGAAGAGGAGAGUGGAAUUCCACGUGUAGCGGUGAAAUGCGUAGAGAUGUGGAGGAACACCAGUGGCGAAGGCGACUCUCUGGUCUGUAACUGACGCUGAGGAGCGAAAGCGUGGGGAGCGAACAGGAUUAGAUACCCUGGUAGUCCACGCCGUAAACGAUGAGUGCUAAGUGUUAGGGGGUUUCCGCCCCUUAGUGCUGCAGCUAACGCAUUAAGCACUCCGCCUGGGGAGUACGGUCGCAAGACUGAAACUCAAAGGAAUUGACGGGGGCCCGCACAAGCGGUG
rnacentral:rRNA from 1 species